AUUGAACGCUGGCGGCAGGCCUAACACAUGCAAGUCGAACGAGUGGCGGACGGGUGAGUAAUGUCUGGGAAACUGCCCGAUGGAGGGGGGUAACUACUGGAAACGGUAGCUAAUACCGCAUACCAUCGGAUGUGCCCCGAUGGGAUUAGCUAGUAGGUGGGGUAACGGCUCACCUCGGCGACGAUCCCUAGCUGGUCUGAGAGGAUGACCAGGCACACGGGAACUGAGCCACGGUCCAGACGCUUACGGGAGGCAGCAGUGGGGAAUAUUGCACAAUGGGCGCAAGCCUGAUGCAGCCAUGCCGCGUGUAUGAAUAAGGCCUUCGGGUUGUAAAGUACUUUCAGCGAGGAGGCGUUACUCGCAGAAGAAGCACCGGCUAACUCCGUGCCAGCCGCCGCGGUAAUAC
rnacentral:rRNA from 1 species